rnacentral:tRNA from 1 species
GGGGUUGUGGCUCAGUGGAAGAGCACUUGCCUAGCAUGUAUGAGGCACUGGGUUCGAUUCUCAGCACCACA